rnacentral:rRNA from 1 species
GACGAACGCUGGCGGCGUGCCUAAUACAUGCAAGUAGAACGCUGAAGGAGGAGCUUGCUUCUCUGGAUGAGUUGCGAACGGGUGAGUAACGCGUAGGUAACCUGCCUGGUAGCGGGGGAUAACUAUUGGAAACGAUAGCUAAUACCGCAUAAUAGUAGAUGUUGCAUGACAUUUGCUUAAAAGGUGCAAUUGCAUCACUACCAGAUGGACCUGCGUUGUAUUAGCUAGUUGGUGAGGUAACGGCUCACCAAGGCGACGAUACAUAGCCGACCUGAGAGGGUGAUCGGCCACACUGGGACUGAGACACGGCCCAGACUCCUACGGGAGGCAGCAGUAGGGAAUCUUCGGCAAUGGACGGAAGUCUGACCGAGCAACGCCGCGUGAGUGAAGAAGGUUUUCGGAUCGUAAAGCUCUGUUGUAAGAGAAGAACGAGUGUGAGAGUGGAAAGUUCACACUGGGACGGUAUCUUACCAGAAAGGGACGGCUAACUACGU